GACAAAAGAGAGGACAAGCUACAGAACUUGAAAUGUGAACCUAAGUUGGCAGUUUGUGAAAGCUAAGCAGAAUUUGGCUUCUUCUCCAUGUGACCGCUAAAAAGUUGCACAGCUCUUUUUACAGUUUAACCUAUGAUCUCUACCUAAUUUACAGACCCCUUUUAUUUAUCUACCUACUAGUUAUAAUUAGUAGUGAUUUGAGAAUUCAGUAGUGAAAUUAACAUUUAGGGUUUGCUUUUUGAUCUUUAGAAAGCAAUCGUUCACCUUUUUUCCAGAGACUAUAAAUAUUGCUAUAUAUUAGCGUAGCUAUAUAGUGUUGGUCUGUGAUAUGGAUAUAAAGUUAGCUUGGAUAUAUGGAGGAAGAAGCUACUGGGAAGCCAUAUCAGGAGAGACAUGCAUGUCACCUCCUCUUUCACGCAAAUGCAUGGCUUAAAAUAGAUAUUUGGUGAGAUCACAGCUCGUGCUUUUUCUUCACAGGAAUGAAAAUAAUUGAAAGUUCAUGCUUAGAAACAAGUAUGACGUUUGUAGAAGAUUGAUAUUGUUAGUUAGCAAAAAGGCAAAUGGGAAAGUCAAAGAGUGAUGAAGGAGAGAAGCUCAUGAUCAUGAAUAUAUAUAUCCAUGGAGAAGAUAAUGGAGAUUUUGCAGUAGCAGUAGUAGCAGCAUGCACAUAUCCCCAUGUCACCAUGGCCAUGUGGGAAAGAAGUGUAGGAGGUAGAAGGAGACGUCAUAUUGAAGGUGGUUUUUGGCGUUGGUUCCGUUUGUUUUUCAGUUACAGGCUUUUCCUCAAGCUCAGUCCCAAUCCAACAUCAUUUGGUUUUUGGGCUACAGCCUCUCUAAUAUCAUUAUUGCCUUCUCUUUCUGCUGCUUCCACAAACCCCCCUUUCUGCUCCUUCCACAGCUUUUUCUUUUCUUCUCUAUAAUAUAAAUAUUUGGUUGGGAUCGAUUUUUGAGAGUCUGAAAGAAGACCGCCGUCAACUAGUGCAGGAGGCUAAACUUCGAUUUACACUGCAAGGAUGACUUUUAGGCUUUAGCAAAGAGGUAUUCACCAAAAAAAGGCUUAGCAAAAAGGUGACAUUUCCAUGUGACUACGUUCCUUUCAUUGUGCAUGUAACACCAGCGGACAGUACUGUAUGUGAAUUUUCUUUUUAUCAUAUUUGAUUCUUUUAUUUCUAUUUUCCUGGAAAACCGUAUUUUAGUUUCUUUUACUUUUCUCGGUCAGAGACAUAAGAUAUUUCAACCAUAACUUUAUUUUGUCUUGGAAUUAAAGGUGAUUAAUUAGCACAGUGCUCUUCCUUUGCAAGAGAAUCAAAAUCACAGUUUAAUUUUUUCCUUGAUUAAUUCAUAUUAGAUCUAACAAUAUAUUGUGUUUGCAUCAAAUUUAAUCCAUCUAAAUACAACUGGUUAAACUAUGGAGAUGGAUAUAUCCAAAUUCAUUUGUUUAACCAAUUAAUUUAUUAAAAAUAUAUAUAAGUUUGAGAAUUAAACUUAUUUGAAAAAAGGACUUAUUUGUUUGAUAUUUCUAAAAAAAUUAACUAAAAAAACAAAUGUUUAAAUGAUAGAUUAAGCAUUUUUUAAAUUAGAAUAUUCAAAUAAUUACAAAAAUAUCCUGGUUAAUGGAUUUAAGGAGUUUAUUGUGUUUUAGUUUAUUUUACCUGUUAAAAUUUGCUAACUUAUUAGAUAUUGGUGGGUUUUAAUUAUAUGGAUCCGAUACGGUAAUACCCAACUUAAACAUGUAUGAACUUUCCCGGAUGUAAAUUGAUAAUGAAACAAAAACCAAUAAAAUAUUUAUGAUGGAAGCAAUAUUUCAGUUUUUAAAUUUCUUCGCAAAUCUUUCUGACUGUA